rnacentral:snRNA from 1 species
UGCUUUGUGCAGUGGCAGUAUCGUAGCCAAUGAGGUUAAUCCGAGGCGCGAUUAUUGCUAAUUGAAAACUUUUCCCAGUGACCCUCAGUGGAAUGAUCAGAUCAAGAAAUAAAUUAUUUAAAUCUUAAACACAGCAUUUUAGAAAGUCUUUCACAAUU